rnacentral:lncRNA from 1 species
AAUAGUUCCACAGAGCUGCCGCUGUUUGCCCUCUGAGGGUUUUAAACUGGAAUCUCCAGAACCUCUUCUAAAUCAGAGCUGGGUCAAACGAUUUCACGAAGGAUCUACAGGAAAAAAAAUGAACUCACUAAAUAAUUUUUUAUUCCAUAUCUCGUUUCUAAAACCUCAUAAUUAAGAAAGAAACUGAAGAAAAGGUUAUAAAAGUUAACAUCCCUGUGAACAAUCUUCCUCUAUUUUGUAUGUGGGUCGCCACCAGAUCGUGGCUGACAAGUAGUGUAGGUCCGUGCCCAAGAUCCAAACCCAUGAACCUGGGCCACUGAAGCGGAGUGCAUGAACUUAAUCACUGUGCCGCAGGGCCAGCCCAGCCUUACUCUUUCAGAGAUUGGAACAAGCAUAAUCACUGGAAUAAAAGGUGUGUUUCCAUAAUCCAGAGUAAUUCAGGACCCUGAGGCUUGACCACUACCAUGGCGUUCUACCUGAACUUUACGGAACAAUUGUAAUCUGCCAAGAAAAGAGUAAAAUUGACCUUCACUGAAAACAAUGGGCCCAAACUGGCAACUGUGACUGUUUACGUGACUGGGGAGCCUGAGAAUGCAAUAACAAUGCAUUUUUUGAUUGUUGUAUCAAUGUGCAAACAAUGUAAAUAUCUCUGAUUUCUGUAGCUGCUCUCACACACCAUUCAUCACGGUGGAGGAAUCCUUAUGAAUUUUUACCUAAAACCUGGGAUGAUAGGUGUGAUGACUGGGCAGGUGAGGGCAAAC